rnacentral:rRNA from 1 species
CCUACGGGGGGCAGCAGUGAGGAAUAUUGGUCAAUGGACGAGAGUCUGAACCAGCCAAGUAGCGUGAAGGAUGACUGCCCUAUGGGUUGUAAACUUCUUUUAUAUGGGAAUAAAAUGUUCCACGUGUGGGAUUUUGUAUGUACCAUAUGAAUAAGGAUCGGCUAACUCCGUGCCAGCAGCCGCGGUAAUACGGAGGAUCCGAGCGUUAUCCGGAUUUAUUGGGUUUAAAGGGAGCGUAGAUGGGUUGUUAAGUCAGUUGUGAAAGUUUGCGGCUCAACCGUAAAAUUGCAAUUGAUACUGGCAGGCUUGAGUACAGUUGAGGUAGGCGGAAUUCGUGGUGUAGCGGUGAAAUGCUUAGAUAUCACGAAGAACUCCGAUUGCGAAGGCAGCUUACUAAACUGCCACUGACAUUGAUGCUCGAAAGUGUGGGUAUCAAACAGGAUUAGAUACCCGGGUAGUC